rnacentral:rRNA from 1 species
UUGCUUUCUUUGCUGGCGACCGGCGCACGGGUGAGUAACACGUACCCAACCUGCCCUUUACUCGGGGAUAGCCUUUCGAAAGAAAGAUUAAUACCCGAUAGCAUAAUGAUUCCGCAUGGUUUCAUUAUUAAAGGAUUCCGGUAAAGGAUGGGGAUGCGUUCCAUUAGGUUGUUGGUGGGGUAACGGCCCACCAAGCCUUCGAUGGAUAGGGGUUCUGAGAGGAAGGUCCCCCACAUUGGAACUGAGACACGGUCCAA